AUUGAACGCUGGCGGCAGGCCUAACACAUGCAAGUCGAACGGUAGCACAGAGAGCUUGCUCUCGGGUGACGAGUGGCGGACGGGUGAGUAAUGUCUGGGAAACUGCCCGAUGGAGGGGGAUAACUACUGGAAACGGUAGCUAAUACCGCAUAACGUCGCAAGACCAAAGUGGGGGACCUUCGGGCCUCACACCAUCGGAUGUGCCCAGAUGGGAUUAGCUAGUAGGUGGGGUAAUGGCUCACCUAGGCGACGAUCCCUAGCUGGUCUGAGAGGAUGACCAGCCACACUGGAACUGAGACACGGUCCAGACUCCUACGGGAGGCAGCAGUGGGGAAUAUUGCACAAUGGGCGCAAGCCUGAUGCAGCCAUGCCGCGUGUAUGAAGAAGGCCUUCGGGUUGUAAAGUACUUUCAGCGGGGAGGAAGGCGGUGAAGUUAAUAACUUCACCGAUUGACGUUACCCGCGGAAGAAGCACCGGCUAACUCCGUGCCAGCAGCCGCCGUAA
rnacentral:rRNA from 1 species